rnacentral:rRNA from 1 species
GAUAAACGCUGGCGGCGUGCCUAACACAUGCAAGUCGAACGCCCUUACGCAAGUAAGGGAGUGGCGGACGGGUGAGGAACACGUGGGUGAUCUGCCUUGAGGUGAGGAAUACCGGCGAGAAAUCGCCGACAAUACCGCAUACGUUCGCAAGAACAAAGUCGCAAGACGCCUUGAGAUGAGCCUGCGUCCGAUUAGCUAGUUGGUGGGGUAAAAGCCUACCAAGGCAGCGAUCGGUAGCUGGUCUGAGAGGACGAUCAGCCACACUGGGAUUGAGAACGGCCCAGACUCCUACGGGGGGCAGCAGUGAGGAAUUUUCGUCAAUGGCCGAAAGGCUGAACGAGCAACGCCGCGUGCAGGAAGAAGGUCUUCGGAUCGUAAACUGC